AGGAAAUGCUGGAUGAGUCCCCAAAGUGGGGCCACUAUAUAGCAGGGCAGGGAGCCCGGUGGCCCUGGGGGCUGUGGGGCGCACCAGCAAGAGUCGCCCUACAUGUGAGGGCAGACAAGGCCGUCCACCGCCUGGGAACCAGCUGCAUCAUCUGCGUACGUCUCAUUCCACCACGACAACAACGACGCCAGCUAAGUAGCACCCGUGGUGCUUCUGCUUUGGACCGCCUUGUCUUUCUUUUCAGGACGGGGCGAGUCUCCAGAGCCGAAGUCUUUAACACUCUGGCUCCCCACAGCUUAGGCUUUGGGGUCAACAGCUUCAACCUGGUGGCCAUUGCUCGCCCCCCGUCGGCCCUAUCAGAGGAAGUCCCGCCCACCGGCUUCCUCUCUCCUUGUCUAUCAACAUCCCAUGCGACUGCUGAUUGGUCUUCUUGGCGCCCAAGGUCCCUGCCCAGACCUUCCGGCUGUUUUCCUUCCUUCCUCUGGUGCUCACCUUGGGUGGUAGCACGAAGUCCAGAGGCUUACUGAGGGAGCGACCACAUUUGGAUAGAUGAGUCUAUGAUCCCUGGAGAAGGAAGAAGUAUAAAGUGUUGGAGGAGAAAACCUACUGGUCUGGAGGAGGAAUUUUUCUUCAGGGUGAAAAUGCAGAGAAUUUCUACAUAUUGAGUCAGUGUUGCUGCAAACGGUUGAAGUAUGUUGUAUGCAAAAUGUCAACUGGGCAAUAUUUAAAGCAAGGUGUCUUGUCCCAUUGGCACAUAAGAUGGCAGAGUAUCUUCCUGCAUAGGGAUGAGAACGCCUGGAGAGAUCUGAAGCCUUGUCAUUUCUGUGGAAAACAUUUAUCCUGGCCGGUGAAAACACAAGCGUUUGAGUGAAGCACUGUCAUUUUGAAGGGAUCACUGGAGAAGCACUGUUGAGGUUUCGCCAGUUUAUGUAAUAAUCAAAUUAUCCAAGUUCGACUGGCAUAAACAGGUCUGGGAGCAAACAGACCUCUUGGAAAGUGUUCGGCUUGACUGGCGGGAGCAGAAGGGCGCAGGCGCACCGGGGAGCGGCCCGCUGGCAGCUCGCGUUUGUGUGCGCAAGGCACCCAGUCACAGAGGGAAGAGACGGCAAGUGGGCCCAGAGGCUCUGCUCUAUCCAAUACCCGGAACCGUUUCAGGAAGACAAGAGUGCAGCUCACAAGGCUGAAGACACGGUCACAGCUCCACUUCCCACCUUCGCUGCUUUUCAAUGUAUUCUCCUCCUUGCUUUG